CGGCCAUGUUUGUUUUUUCGCUGUCAUGUUUCGUAUACGAUUGUCGAGCCUAUUUUUGUGAAUUUUUGAUUAAAUUAUUAAAUUUCAAAAUAUUAAUAGGUAUAAAUAUAAAUAUAACCAUUCCUACGAAGGCCGGAUCGGCGAUUGUUUUCUUCUAUCGGAUGCUUGAGUUGUGGAAUCCGGACCACACAAGUAAUAUACCAAGGAUACUGACUGAAAACCAUAAGCGAUUAUCACCAAUAAUGUACUCAAUCCAUCGCAUCGAUUAGCCCUGCUAAAACUUUCAUCCGUCGUCAUGCCGCGGCCGGCAUGCCGGUGUGCUCCGAACAUUCUGAUGCAUACCCGAUAUUCGUGCUAACUAACCACGACUAUACAGUCAACUUUCGCUCGUUGGGCUAAACUCGUAGCCCAUCUAGUGAAAGACUUUCGUUAGUUGGGCUGAGAUUUCAUCUGUCAAAUCAGCGAAUACAAUAGAAAUUCAGAGCUGCCAGUGGGCUACAGCCCAACUAACGGGCGCCCAACUAAAUCGUAGCCCGUCUAAAGAUAGCCCAACGAGUGAAAUUUGACUGUAUAUAGUGGAUUCCAAAAUAUAAUUUUUGAAGUUCCGUCGGCUAUCGAGAACCCGUUGGUAGUAUUCACCUUUUGGUAGUUUAUUUGAGGCAUCCGGAGGACGAAUCGGCUUCAGUGAAUUGCUUCUAGAAAAUGCUAGGAUAUAAGGCAAGCCUUACAGUAUCUCAAGACAAUCAGCAGUACCGGAUCGUCGGAAGAGUAUUUCUUCGAACCACAAGAUUCUGGUUCGAAAAAUGGCAAUUCACAGAAGGACUCAAACGACAACAUACAGUUCGGUGUCCUUCGGAGGGAAGCAUGUAAGGAACGAAUGGAACAGCAAGUAUCCGGAGGUAUAUGCAGAAUUGAUCAUAGAAGAGGUCGGCAUGUGAUUCAGUCACCGAAGACAAAUCCAAAUUAUCUUCACCGCGAUCCAGCUUCUCCGGUUCCCCUUAGACGUCGCACGUCGCUCAAAUCCCGAACCAGUUAAUCUAAAACAUAAAAAGCCAUCAAGCGUGAAAUUCAUCCGCAAUCGCAUCGGCUUUUGCAAGUGAAUAUCCGGACAUCAUCGAACGCAACAACGCUAGAUCAUCCAACGCCACAAAUUUCGGAAAUAAUCCUAUAAAGGAAAUCUCUAAAAUGAGCAGUCUCAAGGAGAACCAUGUUGAAGGACACCGGGUUUGAAUCAAGAUUACCUCGAUUUCUCAAGGCUGAAAAAAUGUACUAUCCACGUGUAUUGUGCGCAUGCAUGAAUUCUCGCUUAACUUUUCAAAAGGACCUAAGUAACAUUUUUUUCAUGAAUUAAUUUGAAUAGCGCAAUCAACAGAAAAACAUGAAAGCUUUCGAUUGCAAUACUCAAAUUAAUUCAUGAAAAAAAUGUUACUUAGGUCAUUUUGAAAAGUAUGGCGAGAAUUAUAAUACAACUCAGGAACCGCGUGGAGGUUUUUUUAAUCUUAAAAUUAAGUAACCAUCUAUGGAGGUGAUUAAUGUAUAUAAAAUUUUAAGAGUUGUUACAUUGACAAGAUGCAACAUCUUAAAAGUAUAAGUAGCCGAAUAUCUUGAAACAUC